rnacentral:rRNA from 1 species
ACUCAAAGGAAUUGACGGGGGCCCGCACAAGCAGUGGAGCGUGUGGUUUAAUUCGACGCAACGCGCAGAACCUUACCAGGGCUUGACAUCCUCUGACGGCUGUAGAAAUACAGAGUCUGGUGCUUGCAUCAGCAGAGAGACAGGUGCUGCAUGGUUGUCGUCAGCUCGUGUCGUGAGAUGUUGGGUUAAGUCCCGCAACGAGCGCAACCCCUGUCCUGUGUUGCUAACGCGUAGAGGCGAGCACUCACAGGAGACUGCCGGAGACAAUUCGGAGGAAGGUGGGGAUGACGUCAAAUCCUCAUGGCCCUUAUGUCCUGGGCUACACACGCGCUACAAUGGCGCGGACAACGGGCAGCUACAUUGCGAAAUGAUGCUAAUCCCUUAAACCGCGUCCCAGUUCGGAUUGCAGGCUGAAACCCGCCUGCAUGAAGCCGGAAUUGCUAGUAAUCGCGGAUCAGCUACGCCGCGGUGAAUACGUUCCCGGGCCUUGUACACACCGCCCGU